ensembl:scaRNA
ACUGGAGGACUAAUCACACUGAGUCUGAAGAGUGAGAUUCAGAUGACAGUAGCCUCCUAAAAGAAAAGGGAUGGAGAGAGCAGUCCUAGUUACAGAAAAGCAAAGGGCUGACUGUGCCAUCCGACACUU